AGAUGGAGUUGCACUCUUGUCACACAGGCUAGAGUGCAAUAGUGCAAUAGCAUGAUCUUGGCUGACUGCAACCUCCUCCUCCCAGAUUCAAGGAAUUCUCCUGCCUCAGCCUCCUAAGUAGCUGGGAUUGCAGGUGUGCACCACCACACAUGGCUAGUUUUUGUAUUUUUAGUAGAGACAGGGUUUCAUUAUGUUGGCCAGGCUGGUCUCAAACUCCUGACCUCAGGUGAUCCGCCUGCUCAGCCUACCAAAGUGCUGGGAUUACAGGCAUGAGCCACCACACCCAGCCCAUUUGUUUUCAGUUCUAAAAUGAGGACUGCUGCUCUAAUCUUGGAUUUUCAUGGUUUUAUGGCCUAAAUGUUUGUGUCCCCCCAAAAUUCAUGAACGGGAUUCUGCCCUCGUGAAUGAGAUGAGUGCUCUUGUAAAAGAGGCCCUAGAGAGCCGCCUUACCCUUCUGGCAUGUAAGAACACAACAAGAAAGUGCCAUUUAUGAAGCAGACAGAGGCCUCACCUGACGCCAAAGCUACCAGCACCUUGAUCUUGGACUUCCCAGCCCCCAGAACUGUUAGCAAUAAAUUUCUAAUGUUUAUAAAUUACCCAGUCUAAGGCAUUUUGUUAUAGAAGCCCAAGGGACUGCAACACAUGGUUCUCUUCAUAACCUGAUAUUGAAUUUUUUACUAGGUAAUUAUCAUGUGUUCCAUUUCUAGUUUAUCUGAAAUGAAACCAAAAUAUAAUUUAGCAUUCUAACGUAAGGCUAUUUAUGUAAAAAUGUUGCUCUCCCUGCAAGAGAUCGAGAGCAAAAGGACCAGCCAUUUUUACUGCAGCAAUUGUGGAGUGAAAAACUUAGGCCCUAAGGAACCUUCAGUCUUCGUCAACAAGGAUAUAAGUGGGAUUACCCUGCAAAGUUUGCUUCUCUUUUUCUUUUGGUUAAUGAAUGUGAAAGGACAGCCAGCAUCUCCAUUUAAAAAAAAAAAAAGUUUUAAAAUGAAUGACUAGGACACUUUGAGCCCCUGCUUUUUCAGCUAUAAAAUUAAGCUUGCGCUUCCAAGAAUUCAGUGAAUGAAGUGGAUCCGUAGACAUUUGUGGAGGAAAAGAGUUCAGACUUUUCUCUAAAUUCUGAUGUCCUCAUGCAAAAAAUAAUAGUUUUCUCUGUGAAUCUAGAUUGUCUACACCUCACUAGAACCUGUUCCCUGUUCUAGGCAUCAUUUGAGUGAGGUAUGAUAAGAAUUAAGAAAACUAUGUCUCUAAAACAAAGCACUUUCUUGUCCUUUCCAAGGCUCCUUCUAUGUUCCUCACCACCCUUAAUGCUGUCAUAGUCAAUGUGUUUUAGGCAUAGAGCUCCUAUAUUUUUUCCAGGGUGCUUGCCAAAUCCUGUAGUGCUUUUCUGAUCACUUCUUUUAGAUCUCCAUUCAUAAUGGUUUCAAUGUUCCUUUACAACCUUAGUUGAUUCUGCUGUUGCUAUUUUCUGCAUAAUAGUUAUAGAGCUGUCAAGGAUGCUGUAUCUCCCUAUGCAGUUAUCCUGGUGACAUUUCUAGAUUUUGUUCAGCUUCCCUGAUGGGUCAUAGAAAUGAGCUUUUCCCCUGUUUCACCACCUGCCCCCUGCUCCCCUAGCCAGCUUGUCUGCUGUCCAAGUCCUUGGGGAAGCUGCUUCCUUUCUAUCUGUGUCCCAGGGGCCUCUAGGGGCAGAGAUACAGGAGAGAGGCAACAGACAUUGGCCACCACUACCCAAAAUAUCAACAAAAACAACAAAACUUCUUAUGUUGAAAAUCUGGAAAAGAAAUGCUUGAAUGUGGAUGAAACUGACUGUAAAACACAUCUUGUUCCCCUGUUCACACACUCACUAUGCCAGUGGGAUAGAGUGACCCCUGUCACGGACAAAAUUUUGAAACCCUUCAUUCUUUCAAAUGUAGUAAUGUUACUGGUGGAGGGUGGCCAGGUUCUUGGCAUCUUGAACAAACAAUGGGACAAAACGCAUAAACAAGCAAGGAAGGAAUGAAGGGAUUUAUUGAAAAUGAAAUUAUACUCCACAGUGUGGGAACGGCCCAAGCAUAGGGGCUCAAGGGCCUCGUUACAGAAUUUGUGGGGAUUUAAAUACCUUCCAGACGAUUCCAUUGGUUACUUGGUGUAUGCCCUAUGUAAACGAAGAGGAUGAAGUAAGUUACAAAGUCAUUUACUCGGUGUACACCCUAUGAAAAGACAUUUCCUGUCAUAGCUGAAGUGUUCAUCCGCUUUAUGUUCCCUGCCUCCAGACCCUAUUUUCCUGCCUUAGUAAGAAUUUUUUUUUUUUGAGACAGAGUUUUGCUCUUGUCCAGGCUGUAGUGAAAUGGCACAAUCUCAGUUCACUGCAACCUCUGCCUCACAGGAUCAAGCAAUUCUCCUGCCUCAGUCUCCCGAGCAGCUGGGAUUACAGAUGACUGCCACCACGCCUGACUAAUUUUUAUAUAUUUAGUAGAGACAGAGUUUCACCAUGUUGGCCAGGAUGGUCUCGAAAUCCUCAGCUCAGGUGAUCCACCCGCCUCAGCCUCCCAAAGUGCUGGGAUAACAGGCUUGAGCUACCGCACCCAGCCUUUCAGAAAUAUUUUUUUAAGCUAGUCAAGCAUGGUUGUAGGGGGAAGAAAGUGUUGAUUGGCUCAACAAUAACCCACAUUGGGUUAUUGUGCUUGGGCUAUUUUUUAAUUAUAAUGAAUAAAAUCAAUUACUUUUUGGAGUAAUCACACACCUGUAUAUUAAGACAUCAUCAUUCACUAUCAUUUUAUGGGUGUUGUUACUAUUAUAACUUACUCAAAGAGACUGUAAGUCCCAGGGAGUAGUCCCUUCUAAACAUACAGCAUAGCCUUGAAUGGGUAUAAGUUGAAAAUGAACCAACAGUAUUGGCUGGUGAUUAAGGAAGGCAACACAAUUGUAAGUCACUUCCUUAGAAAUACAGAGACUCCUAGGAGGAGCAAGAGAGACUGCCCCGCCUUCUCCUCAUGGAACAAGGUGUGGCAUCUGCAAAGUCACCAGCUAAACAGACCUGGAAACCUGGAGUUUGUCCAGAAGGGGCUUUCAGGAGAUGAAGACUCUAGACACUGUCUAUGAGAAGCAGAAAAAAAUGGAGAUGUUGAGCUGGAAGAAGAAAAGCCACAGAGAGGACAUGACCCAUGUUAAUGUUAGUUAGCUAACAUUAAAGCACUCAUUCAACUUUCAUUGAACAAACAUUUGUUGAGCACCUUCUAUGAGCCACUUACUGUGCUAGAUUCUAAAGGAACCAAGGACAAAGCAGAGGACCAGGUUAUUGCUUCUGCAAAACUUAGACUUGGUCAAUGGGUCUGGACAAAAAUGUUUUCUCAGGGAGCAAUAGAAUUUGGGUUGGUAAUACAUCUCUACGAUUCUGUGGGAAUGAAAGAGGCCAUUUGCCUUAUCCUUUCUUAAUUCUUCAUCUUUAUGUUUCUAAUUAAUUGUGUAGAAGGGGGUUGGUUGGUUGGUUUGUUGGUUGGUUGGUUGGUUGGUUGGUUUUUGAGACAGAGUCUUGCUCUAUUGCCCAGGCUGGAGUGCAGUGGCACAAUCGUGGCUUAUUGCAACCUCCACCUCCCGGGUUCAAGCGAUUCUCCUGCCUCAGCCUCCCAAGUACCUGGGAUUAUAGGCACACACAGACACACCCAGCUAUUUUCUAUUUUUUUUUUUUUUUUUUAGUAAAGAUGAGAUUUUGCCAUGUUGGCCAGGCUGGUCUCAAACUCCUGACUUCAGGUGAUCUGCCCACCGUGGCCUCCCAAAGUGCUGGGAUUACAAGCAUGAGCCAUCACACCCAACCUUAAUUGCAUGUUUUUUAACUCCCUCAAGAAAAGGCAGUUACACCCCACGUGAGAUGUGCAGGGAUAGGGGAUAGAGCAAAGGCUUUACUGCACAGGGUAGUAGCAGCCAACCUAGCCCUGGGAGUCAGGAAGGUCUUUCCUGGGGAAUGAACAGUGAAAUCUCCACUCUGAGAUGUGGAGGAUGCAGAGGAACUCAUCAGAAACCAUGGUCAUUGGUACAAGGGUCCUCGGGGGGCACAGCAAUGGAUGAAGCCUAGAAAAAGAAUGGAUUUGGCCAGUGCUAAAACUGCAGCUCUUGCUAGCUAGAGUCAUACAGUCCAGAAGGGGUAGGUGGGGGAAUACAUAACAGCCCUAGAGCUGGAGGUCAGUGGAUUCUGGUUCUGCCUUGGCCUUGACUUAGCUCUGGGACUUUGGGCAACUCACUGAGUCUCUUCAGAAUCAGCUUCCUUUCCUGGAAACAUAUUGGUGGGUUAAACCAUCUCUAAUCUCCUCUUCCCCCUGACCUCUUUAUGGCUCAACACCUUACAUCAGAAAAGUUAACAUUUUAGGCCAAAGGCUUUGGGAGGCUGAAGUGAGAGGAUCGCUUGAGGCUAGGAGUUUGAGACCAGCCUGGGCAACAUAGAGAUAUCUCAUCUAUACAGAAAGUUUCUAAACAUUAGCUAGGUACGGUGGUGUGCACCUGUAGUCCCAGCUACACAGGAGGCUGAGGGAGGAGGAUCUUCUGAGUCCAGGAUUUUGGGGCUGCAGUAAGCUGUGAUGGCACCACUGCACUCCAAACUGGGCAACAGAGCAAGACACCGACUUAAAAAAAAAUUAACAAAUAAGCUAAAAUUUUAUAAAUCUUUCUAAAUAACAGUAUAAUUUAGGUUAAGAACCACUGCUCUGGGAUUCUAUAGCAAUUAAAGGCUCUUUUGCCUUUUUAUUCUUAAUUCUACACUGUUAUAUUCCUAUUUAAGCAUUCUUUCCCUCAAACGACGUUUUCUCCUAAAGCUGCAGUCCCUGUAUCUGUCUGUUUCCCCCCAGACCCUUCGGGAACGUCUGGCAGUGACACUCUUUGCAUGGGACUGGGUUUUACAGUAGAUUAGAGAGAAUCAUUUUCAACACCACAGGGACAAACCAUAUCUCAUUCAAAAACAAUCCCUAGGCAUGUCCCUGAGCCUCCGCGGCCAUCAAUGGGUCUGCAGAGCUGAGGUUUCCUUUCUGACUCCUUGAAAGGCUCACGCAGGACAAGUAACCCCUGCGGCUUAUCAGGCAGAGACCAGCAUUAUCAGACGCUUAACGGAGAAGCCAGAGAGUAGCAGGAGCCCUCUCUUGUCACUCGUCACCUCUUUAUUACCAUUCUGAGCCAAAACCACACAAGCCACUAAAUGCAGUGAACGCCUUUGAUGAAAGCAGGGCGUAGUGAGUGAAGGAGGUAGAGCCUCAUUCAGUCCUGUGCAGACCCGGCUGAGCCUAUGGGGAUUGCAAGCUGGAAGUCCUCCACAAAUACAUAGUUCUCUGCAUGAGUGAAGUCAUCUCCAUCUUCUCACCAAGUUUGAAAUAGGGUGUUAUUGUUACAUAUCCCUCCUGUCUGGAAAUUAAAUGUAUUUUUUUUCUUGGAGAGAAAAUUGUUAAUUCUCACUCCAUGUCCUGGCACUGAAUAAUAAUUAUUAUAAUCCUUUUGGUUAAUAUUUAUUGCAUGUUUAUUAUGUACCUGGCUCUUUGCUGUAUGAUUUUCAUGGAAUAUCUAAUUUAAUCUUCACAGCAACCUUAUGAGAGUAUUUAUGCCCAUUUGAUAGAUGAGCAAACUGACACAAAGAAAGUUCAAGUUAAUUUGCCUCCAUCAUAGCACUAGUAAGUAGCACAGCUAAGAUUCAAACUCACAACAGACUCUGACCGCAGAUCCCAUCUCUACCACUACAGCCUACUGCCAUGUUGCCUGCUGAGAACUGAAAUACUGAAAGUUAUAAAUAUUUUGCCUAAGUUAAUAUUCGGGAAUGACUUAGAACCGCUAAUAGAAACUAGGCCUCCAGCUUUGGGGAGUGCUGUUCCCUCCCUACUGUCCCCCAAUUUUUUCAGGUGGCAAAAUAAGCCUAAAUUCCAGGUUUUAAACCAGUUGUUCUGGAUUUUCCUUCCAGAGGUGAUGUUGGUUCUUAUCUUCAUAAGUUGGUUUUCACUCUGGAAGGGACAACACUGCUCCCCCACCAGGCUCUACCAUGGCAAACCUUCAAGGUGCAGCACUCGGGUAAGCAGGUGACCCAGGGCGUAGUAGGCGGGCAGCUCUGCACCUGCCAGGUGGACACAAAGGGUGUCCAGGUAGCACGCUGUACCUCCAGCUCAGGGUGGUCUUCAGCAAGGACUCAGCCUGGAGAACACACGGCAAGUUCUCCAGACUGGCUGCUAAGCAUUCCAUGCAGAAAGAGAAUGGAGCCUGCACAAAUUAUGAAACAUGGAACUGUCACUGUGAUGAUAUGAUUAUGGAAAAUUUACAUUUUAUAUGUCAAGUGGCAGCUUAAUUUAAAAAUAAAAAACUCCUGCAGGCUACCAUCCCACAAAUAAUGUGUGGCUUGCUGUGCAGCCAAACACGCUUACAAAUAAUAAGGAAAUAAAACAUGAGAAUAACAAAAUGGUUUGGCGCAAAAAGAAAAGGGUGCCAAGCGUGUCCGGUUACUUUCAGAUCAAUUUCUAAUAUGCCACCAAAUGCUCAAGCAUGUUUGGAACAAACUGGAGGCCUUAUUAAACUGAGAAUUCCAUGUGACAUUAUUUCAAGGAGGCCUCCUCCUUCUCAUUACUCUGUUGCACGUCUCUGAACAGGCAGGAAGGGAGAGGAAAAAGGAAGCUGGAAGAAGUCCCCUGUAACUUGUGCCCACUGGGCCGUCUGUGCUGGCUGAGUGGCCCAGCCAGCCCCUAGCACUGGGGCAGAGGGAAAAGGGAUGGGGCAUGACUUUCAGCAGUAUCUCCUCUCCUGCCCAGGGACACCCCCACAUAUCCUCAGAGCCACUGCCAGCCAGCCUUAGCACAAUGCCAAAUCACGAACAGGCCAUUAAGGAGAAUAUAUGAUCUCCAUUUAUCACUGACUGUAAAAAGAAAUGAAACAGAGCAGCUAAGUUAAAAAACCAACUGCUAGUCUUCUAGUAAGGGUCUUUAUCUUUUUAAUCCCACGGCUUUAAAAAAUGUGCAUGUAGAUCAUUUGCCAGGAUAUAAAUGCC
rnacentral:lncRNA from 1 species